UACGAAGGUGGCAAGCGUUGUUCGGAUUUACUGGGCGUACAGGGAGCGUAGGCGGUUGGAUAAGCCCUCCGUGAAAUCUCCAGGCUUAACCUGGAAAGUGCAGAGGGGACUGUUCAGCUAGAGGAUGGGAGAGGAGCGCGGAAUUCCCGGUGUAGCGGUGAAAUGCGUAGAGAUCGGGAGGAAGGCCGGUGGCGAAGGCGGCGCUCUGGAACAUUUCUGACGCUGAGGCUCGAAAGCGUGGGAGCAAACAGG
rnacentral:rRNA from 1 species